rnacentral:rRNA from 1 species
CCUCGAAUCAGGUAGGGAUACCCGCUGAACUUAAGCAUAUCAAUAAGCGGAGGA